GGGACAUUGUUUUUACCUUUUCAACAGUAAAAGCCACUGAGCAUGCUGCCUUGCUCAAGGACACACUGACAGAGUACUCUCAGAAACGGGAGUGCCCCCACACAGACACGUGGUGUGAGCUAAACUUUGAGGGGGAAUGCUGACACCGUUGUAUUCAACCGACCUGGGGCAGAAUGAUUGUUGGAGGCAACGAGGUGUAUCCGCUUACCCCUCCCUGGGACACGGUGUCGCUGCUGGGGGAUCAAUGUCCAUUGAGUACGGAGGAAGAGGGGGCAGGC